UACAGGGGGUGCAAACGUUGCUCGGAAUUACUGGGCGUAAAGGGCUCGUAGGCGGCCAACUAAGUCAUACGUGAAAUCCCUCGGCUUAACCGGGGAACUGCGUCUGAUACUGGAUGGCUUGAGUUCGGGAGAGGGAUGCGGAAUUCCUGGUGUAGCGGUGAAAUGCGCAGAUAUCAGGAAGAACACCCGUGGCGAAGGCGGCUCUCUGGAACGCAACUGACGCUGAGACGCGAAAGCGUGGGGAGCAAACAGG
rnacentral:rRNA from 1 species